UGCAACUUCCGCCUCCCAGGUUCAAGCGAUUCUCCUGCCUCAGCCACCCGAGUAGCUAGGACUACAGGCAUGUGCCACCACGCUCAGCUACUUUUGUUUUUUGUUUGUUUGUUUGUUUGUUUUAGUAGAGAUGGGGUUUCACUUUGUUGGUUAGGCUGGUCUUGAACCCCUGACCUCAGGUGAUCCGCCCACCUAGGCCCCCCAAAGUAUUGGGAUUACAGGAGUGAACCACUGCGCCCGGCCUCGAAUGUGAGUGCGUUAAAACCCAGAUCGGGUCUGAUUGGGGUUGGCACCCAGGUGGCUCCAUAAUUGUUGCUGUCCUGAAUUAUUGCCCUCUUUGCUACUUGGACCGAACCCCAUCUUGGGACCACCGACUUCCUCUGACUCCUGGUCAGGCUCCUGGGCGGCAAAUCCUGGCCCCUGGUAUGGUCCCGCCUGCCUCUCUGUCCCCUUGUCUACCUGACCAGACCUCUGAACUUCAAGGCCUGGAUGCCCUGUCUCUCCUCCUGUGAGGCUCUGUCCUACCUCAUGUUGGGACCUAGGGCGCUCUGUUGUACAACUCCAGGGAGCACCAUUGUGUCUUCUGUAAAUGGCAGCUCCUGGAACACAGUGAGCCCUCAAUAGGGCAUGUCAGCUGUGGGCUCAGACAUCCUUUGGGUCUGGCAGUGCUCCAUUUCAUGUGCCCUGUCACCCUCACCCCUCUUUUUCCAUCCCACUUCUCCUAGCUGGACCAAGCUAGGCGUCAUCUACAAGCCCGGUGUGCUGACCAGGGAAUGUGUGGGGCUUGGGGCAUGGGGACAAUAAAUAACAUCACUUUUCUCAUUUCCCAGGCAGGUAACCAAUUGAAAGAUAAGAUACCAUAGACAGACAUCAACUUUAUUCCUGACUAAAGCUCAAAAGAAGGGCGUGGCGUAGAUUUACAGUGACCAUCCUAACACUCACGCGCAGAGUCACACGGUCCCACACUGGGCUGGACCAGCCCUGCUAAGCCCACAAGAGGUGGGGAGAACAGCAGCCGCUUCCUCUUUGUGGGGCCCAGGCCUGAGCUUCCCUCCGUUCCUGCCCCGGAUCUGACCACUGGGAUUGUGGGAGAGGGUGUCAAAGGACAGUUUUCUCCCAUAGUUUUCCCUUCCAGGGAGAAGAGUGGAAAUCCCCUCAUCUCAAAGGCAACAUGAGAUUGGAGAAUGUACUCUCAAAUCCCCAAACAGCAACAGAAUUGUUCUGCUUGCUUCAGAGCAGAGGCUCCGCAGCCCUUUCCAGACCUCUCCCAAGCGUGGAAAUGGACGAAGGGCUGGAUGGGGCUCAGAGGGGAGGUCAGGCGGGACUCCCUCAGACAGCAGCUGGGGUUCCUCUGUUCCAGGCCCAGCUCUCACUGAAACAGGAGAGGGUGUGAAGGAAUGGAUUUGGAACUGUCAAGAACUCCUUCCUUAGUGGGCAGUGGAGGUAAUGCAGGGUUCAGACCAUCUGUGCCCUGGACAGAGGCCUCUUUCUUCCCCAGGAAUGCUAAGCACAUGGGCAUCCUGAUACCUCAACUCCUCCAGUCCCAAAUACUCUGCCUGUUUGUCCCCUUUGUCCUGAGCCACCCCGUAGGACCUGCAGGUCAGGCACUGACUUCAUGUCAGGUCCCCGAAGCAGUUUUGUUCUCUCAGCAGUGUCCACUGGCCUGCAGCCAGGCACCUCUCUCCCCCAGCCUGGGUCACUGGCAAGGGAGCAAGAAGAGUUCUGGGCUCACAGCAGGCAGUGGAGUGUAGUCACAGAGCCUGAUCCGGCUUGAAAUCCCAGAUCCUUUGCUUACUAGGCUGUGUGGCCUUAGGUGAGUUACUUAAUCUCUCCGUGCUUCAGUUUCUGCAUAUGUAAAACAGGGAUAAUAUCUAGCUCACUGGGUUAUGAUGAGACGUAAGUAACUUCAUACAAACCCCUUAGGACUGAUGCCUGGGCAUUUCUAAGUACUCAGUGAAGGCAAGCUGCUGUUUUUAUGGGCCCAGGUCUAGGAAAAAAGAAUCAAACAGCCAGGGGAAAGGGGAUGCUCUCCACUGUAUAUUAAGUUCUAUCAUAGGGACCAUUUUAGCUAAACACAGAAAAACAGAGGAGGGGGCUGGGUGUGGUGGCUCAUGCCUGUAAUCCCAGACCUUAGGAGGCUGGAUUGCUUGAGCCCAGGAGUUCGAGACCAGCCUGGGCAAUAAAGUGAGACCCCCAUCUACAAAAGAUACAAAAUUUAGCUGGGUGUGGUGGCGCAUGCCUGUAGUUCCAGCUACUAGGGGGCAGGGUGAGGUGGGAGGGUAACUUGAGCCUGGGAGGCAGAGGUUGCAGUGAGCUGAGAUUGCAUCACUGGUCUCCAGCCUGGGCGACAGAGGGAGAUCCUAUCUCAAAAAAAAAAAAAAAAAAAAGACAGAGGAGGAACAAGGAACAAUUAUCCCCCAUUUUACAGAUCAAAAGCUGAGUGAAGCAGUGGUCCAGCUGGAAUUCAACACCUGAGAUAUCUGACUCCAGAUACCAGCCCUUCCUUGCUUCCCACUAGCUGCCUAACCCAGAGAGGAGAUUGGGAAAAGAGAAACAAGUUACAGAAUUCAAGAGUAGGUAUCAUCUGGGGUCUUCCUGAAGGAACAAGUGUUGCUCCAGAGAAGCCAGAAAUUCUUAUCUCUGCUUUGCUCUAACCACCUCUUUAGGCUUUAUGACUGAAGAGUCCCUUUGGCCCCUUAACUCCACAAGGCUGACCCUGGUGAUCAGCAGCUGAGAUCUACAUGAUACAGUCCAGACACCAGAAGGAGACUGAAUCUCUCUCCCAAAUCUCAGCUCUAAAAUUCCCAAGAGAGGGCCUCAUGGGUCCAGGCAGUGUCUGGUGUCCGUCCUGCAAUGGCCAGGAGCCAGGUUUUCUUGUAGGAGUGUGACAGCUCCUCCUGCAGUCGGGGAUCCUGGAUGGGGCUGAGGAGAAGUUCCAAGGCAAGGAGGAUUGGCAUCUGCUCCAUAAGUGCAUUCUUCUCUUUGCACUUGAUCUUUUAUCUACCUCAUAGAUAGAUCCUUCUUGCUCACACUUUCAGCCUGUCCUUUUUUUUUUUUUUUUUUUUUUUUGAGACAGGGUCUCGCUCUGUCACUCAAGCUGGAGUGCAGUGGCAUGAACUUGGCUCACUGCAGCCUCCACCUCCCAAGUUCAAGUGAUUCUCCUGCCUCAGCCUCCCAGGUAGCUGGGAUUACAGGCGUGUGCCACCACACCUGGUUAAUUUUUUUGUAUUUUUAGUAGAGAUAGGGUUUCACCAUGUUGACCAGGCUGGUCUUCAACUCCUGACCUCCCCAGUGAUCCACCCACCUAGGUCUCCCAAAGUGCUGGGAUUACAGGCAUGAGCCACUGUGCCCAGCGCUUUCAGCCAGUUUGACCUCUACUCAUGCAAAUUUUACCUUUCCCUUUAUGCCUCACUCCACCUCACGGCUUCACUCUCUUCUCCCUGAUCGCACCCCACUGUGACUGCCUGAAAUGCCACAUGUUUCUUCAUUCAGAUUUCUCAGAUAAUUCAAUGGUUCCACCCAUAAUUCCACACCUGGCCACUUCAUAGACAAUGACUCACUUAAGGACAGGCUGCCUCAGGGUGCACAGCCUGUAUUCAGGAAUCUGCUAGAGCAACACAUAGCUGUACCUUCUGCAAGGCUGUGGGCUGGAUGACUCCACUGUGGGCGUGGAACACGGGCUGGUGUCAUAAGGAGACAUUCUUUAUGCCUUAGGCAUUGAAAGGAUACUCCUUCCAAAAGGCCUUUCCCAGCGUUUCCCCCUGAAAUCCACUAACCAUAGCAUUUCACUGUUGACACUGCCAUAUAGUGCUAAGUGCAGUUGUCUAACUCCUACUGCCACAGAGAUUCAAGUGUACAAUGGCUUACACGUGUGAGAAGAUUAUUUCUUGUUCAGAUAUCAAAUGCAGAAUAAGCAGUCCAGAGAGGAGAUGACAGCUUUAUGGUGUUGGGGACCUAUGCUCCUUCUGACUUGCUGUUCUAUCAUCCCUUGGACGGUGGCCUCAUCUCCUUGGAUCCAGAUGGAUCACUACCACAUUCCAGCCAGUGGGAAGGGGGAAAUGCAUUUCCUUUUCCUUUAAAUGCGGGAGCCAGAGUUUGCACACCUCACUUCACUCACACCUUGCCAGCCAGAACGUAGUUACAGGGUCACAUCAAGCUUGAAGGAGAGCUGGCAAAUGAAGUCUAUUUUGGGUGGCCAUGUGCCCAGCUAAAAGUUGGGAAUUCUAUUAUUAAAGAGGAAGAGGAAGAGAAGAAUGCAUAUCCCACCAUUCUGUCACCGUUUUUGACUGCUCUCCACUCACUAUCCAGUCUGUCACAUGCUGGCACAUCCCAUUCCUGAUGCCUUUCCUAUGGGGCUCUAUUCUUCAUCCCCACCAAUACCACCAUGCAUUGGGCCCUUCCUGCUUUAUACCCACUGUCUCAUUAGAACGUCCUAGCUGAUCCCUUUGCUUUCAGUCACCUUCUGUGAUCAUUCUAUUAAUAAAUAGCAAAUCUGAUCAUAUGCCCCUAUUGUUUAGAAAUCAAUGGCUCCCCACUGCCCAUAGCAGUAAGAUUUUGAAUCCUUUUUUUUUUGAGACAGGGUCUCAUUCUGUCACCUAGCCUGGAGUGUAGUGGUGAGAUCACAGUCAUUGCAGCCUUGACCUCCUGGGCUCAAGUGAUCUCCCCACCUUAGCCUCCCAAGUAGCUGAGACUACAGGCACACAUCACAACGCCUGGCUAGUUAUUAAUUUUUUUUUUUUUGUAGAGAUGGGAUGUCACUAUGUUGCCCAGGCUGGGCUCAAGUGAUCCUCCUGCUUCAGCCUCUCAAAGUGUUGGGAUUACAGGUGUGAGCAACUGCAUUCAGCUGAGUGCAGAUUUUUGAAUCCCUGAAGUUGUAUGCAAAUUUUGCCUUCUUUUUUUUUUUUAUUGCAAAAACUUUUUUUUUUUUUUUUUUGAGAUGGAGUCUCACUCGCUCUAUCACCCAGGCUGGAGUGCAGUGGCACAAUCUUGGCUCACUGCAACCUCUGCCUACUGGGUUCAAGUGAUUCUCAUGCCUCAGCCUCCCGAGUAGCUGGGAUUAUAGGCAUGCACCACCAUGCCCUGCUAAUUUUUGUAUUUUUUAGUAGAGAUGGGGGUUUCACCAUGUUGGCCAGACUGGUCUGGAACUCCUGACCUCAAUGGGUCAGCCCACCUUGGCCUCCCAAAGUGCUGAGAUAUACAGGCGUGCGCCACUACGCCUGGCCAUUUUACUUUUUCUUUCUUUUUUUUCUUUUAGAGAUGGGGUCUCAAUCUGUCACCCAGGCUGGAGUGCAGUGGUGCGAAAAUAACUCACUGGACUCAAACAAUCCUCCUGCUUUAGCCUCCUAAGUAACUAGGAUUACAGACAUGUGUCACCAUGCCUGUCUAUUUUUUAUUUUAAAUUUUUUUUUGUAGAGAUGAGGUCUUGCUAUUUUGCCCAGGCUGGUCUUAAACUCCUGGCCUCAAGCAAUCCUUUCGCCUUGGCCUCCCAAACUUUUUCUGUUGAGGCCUUUGCAUUUUCAAAGGGGUCUGUUAUUCCCCUCAAGUUACAGGCACAAGUCCAAAUUCCAAGUAUCCAUGUACGAGUGUGGUAUGUUUCCUGACCUCCCUUUCACGUCUCCUGUUUAGUCACGUCUCCUGCGUAACUGAAACUAAAGUCAUUUUGAAAUUGUCUCCAUUGCCCAACAGGUCACACUUUUUCUUUUUUUUUCCUUUUUUCUUUUCGUGAUGGAGUCUCACUCUGUCGCCCAGGCUGGAGUACAGUGGCGUGAUCUUGGCUCACUGCAAACUCCACCUCCCGCAUUCAAGCGAUUCUUAUGCCUCAGCCACCCGAAUAGCUGGGAUUACAGGCGUGAGCCAGCGUGC
rnacentral:lncRNA from 1 species